AAAAAUGUGGAAUGAUUUGCGUUUGGUACGUUCGACGUACCUGAGGAGAUUGCAACCACGAUAAAAAAGUGCUAAAAGCCAGUAG
rfam:Sphingobacterium sp. JB170 genome assembly, contig: Scaffold14